rnacentral:lncRNA from 1 species
CCAAACAGCCCUAAGCCGCCCCAUCUCCCUUCUGCCUCCAUCUCUCUAUAACUCUAUUUCUCUCACUUUCUUGGAUAUGAUGAAUGGUUAAAAACCAAACUCCUCUCUCUCUCUCUCUCCCUUUCACUCUCUCCCUCUCUCUCUUUCAGCCUUUCAAAUAUGUACAGAGCGGAACCCUAAUAUAAGUUUCAGCAUUUCAGACCAAAAGCUCAAAUCUAUUGAAGCAGUAAAAAGGUUGAGAUCAACGGCUCUCUCUCAUCAAUUGUUUCAUCACAAUCCGUGAAAUCUUUACUUUUCACUUUUUGACAUAAACGUACGUACCAUUUUGCUCCAACAAAAAACAAGCUAAGGAACAAGGAAAUCAAACUCUGUUUUGCAGAUCAUCAGAGCAGCUUGGCUUCUACCUUGUAAGAAUCUCUCUCCCUCUCUCUCUCUCUCUCUCUCUCUCUCUCUCUCCCUCUCUCUCUCUCUCUCCCUCCAUCUCUCCUUGCUCUCUCUCUCCCUCUUAGUUCUUCGAAAUACAUGCUAGCUAGAGGUGUACAAGUAGUGGAUGUGUGUGUUACAUAAGCAAACAUAACGUACUAUGAGUAAGUUGUGACAGUGUGUGUACAAAAUCUCUCUUGUUGAUAUAGUCUGAAAAUUCUUCUUUUGUGUUAUCUAGAUAUUCGAGUAAAUAUUCGUGAAAAUCUUAGAUAUGGAUUCUGGAAACAGCGGGAGCAUACAAUCCUCAAGCGGCGCAGACGAUGACUACGAGUCACGCGCCGGUGAAUCCACCUUUAGCAACCCAUCCUCCACCACAACCACAACCAACAACCCACUACUAUUCUCCCAAUCGUCCACCAUGUUUGACCCUCUAUCCAACUACUUCGACCCACCCAUCCCAUCUCGACCCACCCACCAAAACCAAAACCAAAACCAAAACACAUCCCUCCUCAAUCUAGACAUGCCUUCAUGGCCCAAAUCCCAACCCAAUCCUUUCUUCACACCCCAAACUCCCAUGUCCUCAUUCCCCCAUAUUUCAGAACCCAUUCCCACAACAACACCAGGGAAUAAUACGAAUCAAGUCAUCCAGCAAGAUCAGACUAGUCAGACUCAGACACGAAACCCGAAGAAAAGAUCUCGCGCCUCUAGGCGCGCACCCACCACUGUGUUAACCACAGACACCUCCAAUUUCCGAGCCAUGGUUCAGGAAUUCACUGGAAUCCCCGCGCCUCCUUUCACUUCCUCACCAUUCCCGAGAACCCGGCUCGAUCUCUUUACUUCCCCUUCUCCCUCAUCCUUCAGAUCUCAACCCUCGAGUUUCAAUCAAAAUCAUCUCCUCCGUCCAUUCCCUCAGAAAUUCCAACCCCAACUCUCACCGUUCACAACUAACCACAACAAUAUUAACACNGAAACGAGUCAAGAGUGAAACUAGCUAGAGGUGUACAAGUAGUGGAUGUGUGUGUUACAUAAGCAAACAUAACGUACUAUGAGUAAGUUGUGACAGUGUGUGUACAAAAUCUCUCUUGUUGAUAUAGUCUGAAAAUUCUUCUUUUGUGUUAUCUAGAUAUUCGAGUAAAUAUUCGUGAAAAUCUUAGAUAUGGAUUCUGGAAACAGCGGGAGCAUACAAUCCUCAAGCGGCGCAGACGAUGACUACGAGUCACGCGCCGGUGAAUCCACCUUUAGCAACCCAUCCUCCACCACAACCACAACCAACAACCCACUACUAUUCUCCCAAUCGUCCACCAUGUUUGACCCUCUAUCCAACUACUUCGACCCACCCAUCCCAUCUCGACCCACCCACCAAAACCAAAACCAAAACCAAAACACAUCCCUCCUCAAUCUAGA